rnacentral:rRNA from 1 species
UACGUAGGUGGCAAGCGUUACUCGGAAUUACUAGGCGUAAAGCGCAGGUAGGUGGUUGGAUAAGUCCAUAAUGAAAUCUCCCGGCUUAACUGGGAGCGGUUUAUGGAUACUAUUUAGCUCGGAGUGUGGGAGAGGUGACUAGAAUUCCCGGUGUAGCGGUGAAAUGCGCAGAUAUCGGGAGGAACACCAAUGGCGAAAGCAGGUCACUGGCCCAAUACUGACACUGAGCUGCGAAAGCUAGGGGAGCAAACAGG